CAAAGGUUUGGUCCCAAUCUUAUUAUCAGCUAUAAUACAACUUACACAUGCAAGUAUCCGCACCCCAGUGAAUAUAUACCACCCCCACCCAGGAAAGAAGAACAGGUAUCAGGCACAAUUUAAUUUAGCCCAAGACACCCAGCUCAGCCACACCCCCAAGGGAAUUCAGCAGUGAUAAACAUUAAGUUAUAAGUGAAAACUUGACUCAGUUAGUGUUAAAAGAGCCGGUAAAACUCGUGCCAGCCACCGCGGUUAAACGAGAGGCCCUAGUUGAUAGUACACGGCGUAAAGAGUGGUUAAGGUUAAGUAAAAAUAAAGCCAAAUAGCCCUUCGGCCGUUAUACGCUUCUAGGUGCCCGAGACCCUAUUAAACGAAAGUAGCUUUAAUCAAAUAUACCCGACCCCACGAAAGCUAAGAAACAAACUGGGAUUAGAUACCCCACUAUGCUUAGCCGUAAACUUAGGCAUGUAAAUACAAUUAAAUGCCCGCCAGGAUAUUACGAGCAUUAGCUUAAAACCCAAAGGACCUGACGGUGUCUCAAACCCCCCUAGAGGAGCCUGUUCUAGAACCGAUAAUCCCCGUUUAACCUCACCACUUCUAGCUAUAUCAGCCUAUAUACCGCCGUCGUCAGCUUACCUUGUGAGAGUAGAAAAGUAAGCAAGAUGGGCACAGCCCAGAACGUCAGGUCCAGGUGUAGCGCAUGAGGUGGAAAGAAAUGGGCUACAUUUUCUACUAAUAGAAUAUUACGAAUAUGCACCAUGAAAUAGUACUUGAAGGAGGAUUUAGUAGUAAAAAGAAAUAGAAUAUUCUUUUGAACCCGGCCAUGAGACGCGUACACACCGCCCGUCACUCUCCCCAUUAAAACGCACCUAAGAUAUUUAAUACUUUAGCACUUACGAAGGGGAGGCAAGUCGUAACACGGUAAGUGUACCGGAAGGUGCACUUGGAUCAAAC
rnacentral:ncRNA from 1 species